rnacentral:tRNA from 3 species
AAGAGAUCAUGAUUAAGAAAUGGCUGCUAACUAAUUUCUGAUGCGGUUAAAUUCCGUUUAUCUCUUA